AUGGCGAUGCGGGCGGUGGCGGUGCUGCUGCUUCUGGCGGUGGCGAGCGUGCUGGCGGCGGGCGCGGCGGCGCAGUCGACGGGCACGCCGGCGUGCGCGUCCAAGCUGACGGGCUGCGCCGGCUACAUGAACGGCACGGACGCGCAGAAGCCGCCGGAGACCUGCUGCGGCCCGCUCCGGGACGCCGUGAAGAACGAGAAGCCCUGCCUCUGCGCGCUCUACGCCUCGCCCGAGAUCUUCAAGGCCUUCAACAUCAACGUCACCGACGCGCUCCGCCUCUCCAAGCGCUGCGGCGUCUCCGAGGACGUCAGCAGCUGCCCCAGCACCUCUCUGACGAAGUCUCCUCCAGGUUCGAGUUCUUCUCCAUCAGGUGGCGCUCCAUCAGGUGGCAAGAGCGCCGGGCACCCUACCAUGUCGGCCAGCUUCGCGGGGCUGAUGAGCCUCUUCCUGGUCCUGUGGUCUGCACUGGCAUAA
rnacentral:rRNA from 1 species